ensembl:snRNA U6 U6 spliceosomal RNA
GUGCUCACUUUGGCAGCACUAAAAUUGGAAUGAUACAGAGAAGAUUAACAUGGCCCCUGUACAAGGAUGACACAUAAAUUCUCGAAGCAUUCUAUAUUUCA